GUCCGUCUUCAUGGAGCUGUGGGAUAUCCCGGAUUAGAAGGAAUAGAGGUCACUGGGUCUGGCUCCAGGCUGGGAUGGAUGUUCUGGGACAUUUCUGGCUCAUUUCUUGGAAUCAGUGUCCCCAGUGGUGGAGAAGUACUGGGAAAGAGUUUGGGUCCCCCACGCCCCUUGUUCUGAGCCCCCCACAGCCCUACCCCGACCCCUGUACACCCCCUGCCCCAGCUGCACGGUUCUCUAUCCCCAGUGCUGACUCAGGGUCACAUCCCACGGCCAGCAUCUCACGCAGUGCUGGGUGACCCCUCUGCCCUUCACUGGUGACGGUGAGGAUGAGGAAGGACCUCACAGCAGAACCCCAUUGGUGGAUUCGGGAUGCAACACCCAGUGAUCCCAGCUGGGCAGUCCAUAGGAUCCCCACCCCACUACUGGGACUCUGCACUUUGCUUUGCUUUCAGUAUAACACACGGGGCAGCCCAGCCCCGCACGCCGCGCUGCCCGAGGGGACGCACGAAAAAUGCUGCAGCUCGGGCUGCCCACGGAGCUCAAAGUGACCCUGGGAGCCACGGGCACGGCGGGAGGAAGACUGCGGUGGGAGGAAGACGGAGCAGGAAGACUGCAAAGGGAGAGCCGGGCUGAGCCCCUGGGUGCCGAGGCCCGAGGUAGGAGCGGCUCGCUGCGGGGCAGGGGUUGCAUAGAAUCGCUGCUUCGUCCCUGUGCAGGGAGCAGAGCGGGAGCUGGCGGUGUGGGGUUCUGUCUCUUGGGGCCUUGUCCCCAUCCGUGUCCCCGUAGCUGUGUCCCGGGCACGGCGAUCCGCCUCCGGUCUUGGCAAAUAAAUAGUGAAAAGCAGAAGGAA